CUCUGCUCUGUGCUGGUGAGGCCACAUGUGGAGUGCUGUGUCCAGUUUGGGCUCACCAGGGUAAGGGUGAUAUGGACAUACUGGAGAGAGUCCAGUGAAGGGCCACUAAGAUGAUGGACUGAAGCAUCUCCUCCUGUUGAAGAAGAAGAAUUUUUCAAAAAGGCGAGUAUAAACAAUGUUAACAUUUCAUACCUGUAACAGAGGCUGUAGAUGAGAAGAAGGUGAUCCAUGAGACAAUCAGCUUGUUAUGUCUUUGGUGAUGCUAGUCCCUGUCGUGUUCUGCAUACCUCUCUGGAGAGAGAACAGCAGGCUGUUAUAAAGACGUAUGCUGACGUCUUGCUUUGCUGUUCAAGCAAUGAGAGGUACAGGUUUAAAAGAAACAUGAAAAAACGUGUAUACAGAGUCCUGUGGCACCCUACCUGAAUACUGAGUACCUACUACACCAUAGAAGGUCAUGUUCAGCCUAGAACUGUGACUGAUGAGACCCUGGCUGAUGAGAAGAGAUGGAAAUUGUACAGCUGGUUUAGUCUAGGGAAGUAAAAAAGGUGGAGGAGAGCUAAAAGACUAUGAGUGCAAACAAAUACAAGUGUUUCUCAGUUGCUAGCUAGAGUUGCAUUAGUGUGACUUUUUCAAAUAAUUUUUGAUAAUGGCACACAAUAUAAUACCAAGUGGUUUUUUUUAUUUGUCAUUGUGGAAAAACAGAUACUGGGAUUUCAAUUUUUGUUUCCAGACCUGUCUGGACAUAAAGACAGAAACAAAUAAUUUAUCAACAUGUUUCUUUCAAUAUUUAAAAACAGUAUUAUUGUACUUCAACUUUGGUUUUGGCUAAGCUAAAAAUGUCUUUUUAGACAAAAACUGAAUAUUGCAGUUUUUGUCAGCAAAACUGCAAUAUUCAAGCCACCAAAGAUGGAUAGACAACAUAAAUAGGCUUUUUAUUCCAGUAUCUUAUUUAUACACCCUGGUGUCGGUUCUGGGCUGUUCAGUCUGAUCUGGUACUUUGUGCUUUCAGUUACGUGGAUGUGCUGGAACCACAGAUGUUACAAUGAAGCAGAUCUCAUGUUACUUCAGCAAUCUCAGCGUGAAAGUUGAUUUCAGGUGGUGGUCCAUGUCUUUCCUGUGCUGGGGACCUCAGAGCUGGAUGCAGCACUCUGGAUGUGGUCUCACCAAAGCAGAGUAGAUAGAGGAGCAGAAAAACCUCCCUUGACUUGCUUGACACACUGCUUUUAAUGCAGCCCAGAAUACAGUUGGAUUUUUGGGUGACAGGAGAAACUUUCCCAGCCUACCAUGACUUUCAUCUGAUGUAUGCAUGGUGUAAAUGACCUGGAAGACACCUGUCUUUCUGAAAAAGCACAGAAAAAUACUUAGUGGAGAUAUUGGCAGUUGUAUUGAUUAUAGUAUUUAAUAUAGUGCUUGGGUCAAAAUAUUGUUAGCACAAAGCAUUCACGUCAGCAUCCUUACUAGCUCUAUUAUAUAAGCAAUUAGCAUUACCCCUAUUUUACAGAGAACAGUGAAAGAAGAAUGAGGAGAAACUUGGCUGACUCUGUAAGGAUGUAUUAGCCAGCUAUGAGGCAAAGUUAAUGUCAGGAAAGCUAGAACACUCUGUAUUGUAUUUAGUUCAGUCCCACCAUCCUGGAAAAAAUAAGCAUGCUUUUGAAAUUAACUUUUCUUUGUCAGACCUGUCUUUUAUACUAAAACUAUAUUUAAGGAUGAUGGUCUUCUUUUUAUCCAUGAUUUUGCUUUUGUUACACUAUUGUUUUUUCUCCUUGCAAUGUAGGAAAAUACAGUUUCAAUCCAAGUGGCAAUGAAAAUUUUAUGCACAGAAGAACUGGAUUAUAUAGGAGUCUAAGAAAAUGUUGUUUCUUCCUUGAAAACAUUAUGUGAAACAACAUGCACUGUGUGCAUGUUUGUGCAAUCACACAAAUUUGAGUUUUGACUCUGAGUUUCUAUCAAUGAAAAUUGUAACUGUAUCAAUUAAACCUGGUAAUUAACACUCUGUGUCAUUAGCUCUGUUGGCUGUCAGUGUACUAUUAAUUGUAUGUGUAUACAUGUGAAUAAUGCAUAUAAUAAAUGUAUUAAAUGACUUCUAAAUGUAAUUGAUAUUUCUGUAUAUGAUAUUUUGUCUGUAAAUAACAAUAGAUAAAAAUUUGUGGCAAUUUAAUAUUAUUUUAAUAAUUAGCUGAAUUAUGAGUACUCUAUUAAAAAAUAAA